rnacentral:rRNA from 1 species
GAUGAACGCUAGCGGCAGGCCUAAUACAUGCAAGUCGAACGGUAACAGGCCGCAAGGUGCUGACGAGUGGCGAACGGGUGAGUAAUGCAUCGGAACGUGCCCAGCCGUGGGGGAUAACGCAGCGAAAGCUGCGCUAAUACCGCAUACGAUCUAUGGAUGAAAGCGGGGGACCGUAAGGCCUCGCGCGAUCGGAGCGGCCGAUGUCAUAUUAGGUAGUUGGUGGGGUAAAGGCUCACCAAGCCGACGAUCUGUAGCUGGUCUGAGAGGACGACCAGCCACACUGGGACUGAGACACGGCCCAGACUCCUACGGGAGGCAGCAGUGGGGAAUUUUGGACAAUGGGGGCAACCCUGAUCCAGCAAUGCCGCGUGCAGGAAGAAGGCCUUCGGGUUGUAAACUGCUUUUGUACGGAACGAAACGGCUCUGGUUAAUACCUGGGGCUAAUGACGGUACCGUAAGAAUAAGCACCGGCUAACUACGUGCCAGCAGCCGCAGUAA